rnacentral:lncRNA from 1 species
AAGGCACACAGCAGUGCAGACAGACUUUAUUAGUGAUAUCAAUACAGCAGAGGUGCCCAUGGAGCAGGGGGAAGGGACCCAUGCCUGGACCAGUCCCUUCCUCCUUCUGCCCCUGCUGGGUCCAGGAGGAUGAGGCCUGGCCUGGACCAGUUCCUCCUGUUCCACCUGAAACACAUGGGGAUGGAGAACCAGGGCUGGCCUUGCUUCCUGCUCCUCUUGUUACCACUCCAGUGUUAUCACUUCCUGAAGGGAUUAGAUCUCUCCCUCCCCAGCUCCUAGGCAGGGAACCGUAGUUACUAGGGAGGGGUAUACUUGUGAAGGCCUGAGGCCUAGGAAUAGCCUCUAGACCCUUCCCUGACCCACACCCUUUAGUUCCCUGGGGCCCAACACAAGCAGGUGGAGGGAAGGUGGGGGUUUUUCAUGGGGUAUGGGCCCCCAGCCGUUUGGGCUUCAGGGAGCCCCACAGCGACUGAACACCCCUGCGGACAGUCCACCCUACACGCCGUGCCACAGACUCAGCAGGGGGUGCUGGGAGGCAGGAGGUGGAGGCCUGGGAACGGGCAUCCAGACACUUCUGGUAGCGAAGCUGCGGAGGCAAGCAGGGCAGUCACUCUCCAGCCUGCCUCACAUGGGGCCACGCCACCACCACACCACCCUACUAGCUUACCAUGCACGCAGCCUGCACAGCCUCUGAGAGGCUGGCAGCAUUGGGCUCGCACCAGAACAUGUGGCAGCAGAAGGAGGCUGGGCCGGCAGCCAUGAUGAAUGCAAACGUGUGGACAUCUCUGCCCACGGCCAGGAAGGAGAGGAAACGCACCCGACACUCUCCCAGCACUGCCUCUGUCUGCAUGGAGGGAACUCAGUUAAAAAGGAACACCAACCUCACACUGUGUUCCACAUCCAUCUUAGCAGCUCUUCCCCUCACCCCCAGUCUCCCCUCUAUGGCAAGGCACAGCCACGACUUCUACCCCAGCUCUUUACCUGUUGGUGCAAGAUGGUGAGGGUAGCAGGGGCCACACUGACAUGACUUGGGGUCCAUUGUUCACGGCUGCUGGAGGACAGGACUGACUCGAGGGCCCCAUUAAUCACAUCUACCCCUAGAACAUAUGGACACAAGAUACCACUGAGGGUAGACAGAGGAUACCCCAGCUCUACCCUGGACCUCUAGUUCCACCCAAUCAAACCCAGAGCCUUUGCCCCAUCCCCACUUUGCCAGCCUACAUUUUGGACAAUGCUGUCCAAGUAUCCCUUCCCUGGGGCUCUCCUCCCCUGGCUUCAGUAACUGGACAUUUUCCUACUUUUUAAAAUCUUGGAUCCUAGGCUCAUUAUUUUCACUGGCUCUGCCUAUUCCUCCACACUUCUGAACUGACUGACCUCUCAAAGUUCUGAUUUCCCCAAAUCAUGCUCUCUCAGCGCUCAUCACACUCAGACACCACAUUGCUUCACACCACAAUAACUCCCAAAUCAGGCCCUACAGGCCAGUCCUCUCCCAAGACCCAAUUAUUUUUUAAGAUAUCUAUCUGAGGAGUGAUUACUCUGUAUCACAUUGUGCUAAGUCAUUACAGUGUAUUACCUCAUUUGUGCCCACACAACAACAUCACAAUAGAUUACUUUAUUUCCAUUUACAAAUAAGGAAACGGAAGAGAUAGGUAAUAUGC